CAGCCGCCGCGGGAAUACGUAGGGUGCAAGCGUUAAUCGGAAUUACUGGGCGUAAAGCGUGCGCAGGCGGUUAUAUAAGACAGAUGUGAAAUCCCCGGGCUCAACCUGGGAACUGCAUUUGUGACUGUAUAGCUAGAGUACGGCAGAGGGGGAUGGAAUUCCGCGUGUAGCAGUGAAAUGCGUAGAUAUGCGGAGGAACACCGAUGGCGAAGGCAAUCCCCUGGGCCUGUACUGACGCUCAUGCACGAAAGCGUGGGGAGCAAACAGGAUUAGAUACCCGUGUAGUCCCUGUCUCUUAUAA
rnacentral:rRNA from 1 species